rnacentral:rRNA from 1 species
UACGUAGGGUGCGAGCGUUGCCCGGAUUUAUUGGGCGUAAAGGGCGCGUAGGCGGCCACGCACGUCCGUUGUGAAAUCGCCCGGCUCAACUGGGCGGGGUCGGCGGAUACGGCGUGGCUGGAGCAAGCUAGGGGGCAAUGGAAUUCCCGGUGUAGUGGUGGAAUGCGUAGAUAUCGGGAGGAACACCAGUGGCGAAGGCGGUUGCCUGGAGCUUUGCUGACGCUGAGGCGCGAAAGCGUGGGGAGCGAACGGG